rnacentral:rRNA from 1 species
UACGUAGGGUGCAAGCGUUGUCCGGAAUUAUUGGGCGUAAAGAGCUCGUAGGCGGUUUGUCGCGUCUGCUGUGAAAACGCGAGGCUCAACCUCGCGCCUGCAGUGGGUACGGGCAGACUAGAGUGCGGUAGGGGAGAUUGGAAUUCCUGGUGUAGCGGUGGAAUGCGCAGAUAUCAGGAGGAACACCGAUGGCGAAGGCAGUGGGCUGGGCCGGCACUGACGCUGAGGAGCGAAAGCGUGGGGAGCGAACAGG